rnacentral:lncRNA from 1 species
UAGGUUAAUACUAAAGUCGCCAAACGGUAAAGAAAUUGUUUAGUAAACAAGAAAACUGUGAAACAAACAAAGGUUUUAUAUUUUAGAUUCUUCAAAGUUGCACCUCCUUGCUUAAAUGACAGUUUUGCACAUCUUGGCUGGAUUUUCUCAGUCAGCUUUAUGAGGUAGAAUCACCUGAAAUAGUUUUCAGUUAACAGCUGUGCUGAACUUGUUUAGAGUUAAUUACUUGAACUUGUUGCCUCUUAAUGUGUUUGAGAGCAUCAGUUGUGAUGUGAAGAAGUAGCGUUUUUGUGCUGAAUAAAACCAAGUCAGCAACUGUCAAUCAGUAUGCUGUAUUUGUCACUCUCAUACUAUGUUUGUGUGUGUUCCUCUCUCUCUCUCUCUCUCUUUUGCUCGCUCUUUAUUUAUCUUGGAUAGUGUAUAUCAUUUACGGGAAUCAGGGAGCCCCUAUUAAAAUGUGUGAGGCUCCCUGUGAAAGGCGGGAUAUCUGCACAGAGGGCAGAGCAGCGUGUUGGACUCAGACUACCUGUUAAACUCUCUGAAACUGGGGGAACUUAAUACCUUCAGACAUCUCAGCCCAGACAGGUCUGACCGGCAGACUGUGUACUCUGUGUGUUUGACUGUGGAUGUAACAUUGACAGCAGGGUGAGGAAUGUGUGUUGUGUUUCAGCCGGUCGGGCUCUGAAGAAGCGGAGGCUGCAGAGUGAUCAGGAGCUCCAGCAGGCGGCGCUGCAGCUCAUCUCCCACAACAAUGACCUCUCUGAACUUAUGCUGGAGACUAGAGUGAGUGAAAUUUUAACGCUCCUGGAUGGGUAGGGCUAAACUGUUAAAGGCUAAAUGGGUGUGGCCACAUUUGUUAUAUGGGCGUGGCUUAAUAGUGAGGUUGUUUGAUCUGUCUGUUUCCCAGGCUGGCCCUCAGGAAAGGGGAGGAGUCUGUGAUCAUACUGACGAUGUUCAGACUGCUGGAAAGAUUACAGGGUCACUUCUGGUAGGUGAGUUGCAGAGGCAGGCAGGUGAGCUGGGGGUUCCAGUGGGGGUCCUGUGUGUGAGGGUGUUGACGGAGAAGCUCACAGGAAUAAACAUGCAGGGGGACAGAGAGAUGGCCAUGAUCAAGCCUACUCAGAGGGUGAGCACACUUAUUGCUCCACUCAGAACGUCUUUUCUCCGGUACAUUUUUUUUUUUGUAUUAUGCAAAAGCUGUGGGUCAUCAGUAUCAUCUGAUGUUACUGCUACACAAAUUUUCUGUGUUUGUGGACACCCUUUAUAAUGAAUG